UGGGGAAUAUUGGACAAUGGGCGCAAGCCUGAUCCAGCCAUGCCGCGUGAGUGAUGAAGGCCUUAGGGUUGUAAAGCUCUUUCGCCGGUGAAGAUAAUGACGGUAACCGGAGAAGAAGCCCCGGCUAACUUCGUGCCAGCAGCCGCGGUAAUACGAAGGGGGCUAGCGUUGCUCGGAAUCACUGGGCGUAAAGCGCACGUAGGCGGAUCGUUAAGUCAGGGGUGAAAUCCUGGAGCUCAACUCCAGAACUGCCCUUGAUACUGGCGAUCUCGAGUUCGAGAGAGGUUGGUGGAACUCCGAGUGUAGAGGUGAAAUUCGUAGAUAUUCGGAAGAACACCAGUGGCGAAGGCGGCCAACUGGCUCGAUACUGACGCUGAGGUGCGAAAGCGUGGGGAGCAAAACAGGAUUAGAUACCCCUGGUAGUCCACGCCGUAAAACGAUGGAUGCUAGCCGUUGGGGGGUUUACCUCUCAGUGGCGCAGCUAACGCCUUAAGCAUCCCGCCUGGGGAGUACGGUCGCAAGAUUAAAACUCAAAGGAAUUGACGGGGUCAUAGCUGUUUUCCU
rnacentral:rRNA from 1 species